rnacentral:rRNA from 1 species
UACGGAAGGUGCAAGCGUUAAUCGGAAUUACUGGGCGUAAAGCGCACGUAGGCGGUCCGGUAAGUCGGGUGUGAAAGCCCUGGGCUCAACCUGGGAAUUGCAUUCGAUACUGCCAGGCUGGAGUCUGGAAGAGGGGGGUGGAAUUCCAGGUGUAGAGGUGAAAUGCGUAGAUAUUAGGAAGAACACCAGUGGCGAAGGCGGCCCCCUGGACCGGUACUGACGCUGAGGUGCGAAAGCGUGGGGAGCAAACAGG